rnacentral:rRNA from 1 species
GACGAACGCUGGCGGCGUGCUUAACACAUGCAAGUCGAACGAAGUGGCGAACGGGUGAGUAACGCGUAAUCAACCUGCCCUUCAGAGGGGGACAACAGUUGGACACGACUGCUAAUACCGCAUACUGAAGGAGGGGAUUGCGUCUGAUUAGCUAGUUGGAGGGGUAACGGCCCACCAAGGCGAUGAUCAGUAGCCGGUCUGGGAGGAUGUACGGCCCAAUUGGGACUUAGACACGGACCAAGAGUCUACGGGAGGCAGCAGUGGGGAAUCUUCGGCAAUGGACGAAAGUCUGAAGGAGCAACGCAGCGUGAGUGAUGGCGGCCUUCAGGUUGUAAAGCUCUGUUAAUCGGGACGCGGUACCGGAAUAGAAAGCCACGGCUAACUACGUGCCAGCAGCCGCGGUAAUUC